rnacentral:tRNA from 1 species
GGGGACGUGGCGGAACGGCAGACGCUGCGGUCUCAAACACCGCUGAGGGAAACCUCGUGUGGGUUCGACUCCCACCGUCCCCA